AAACUAACAAGGAUUCCCCUAGUAACGGCGAGUGAAGCGGGAAGAGCUCAAAUUUGAAAUCUGGCAGUCUUCGAUUGUCCGAGUUGUAAUCUAUAGAGGCGUUUUCCGUGCCGGACCGUGUCCAAGUCUCCUGGAAAGGAGUAUCAAAGAGGGUGAUAAUCCCGUACUCAACACGACCACCGGUGCUCUGUGAUACGUCUUCUACGAGUCGAGUUGUUUGGGAAUGCAGCUCAAAAUGGGUGGUGAAUUCCAUCUAAAGCUAAAUAUUGGCGAGAGACCGAUAGCGAACAAGUACCGUGAGGGAAAGAUGAAAAGCACUUUGGAAAGAGAGUUAAACAGUACGUGAAAUUGUUGAAAGGGAAACGAUUGAAGUCAGUCGUGUUCUUUGGAUUCAGCCAGUUCUGCUGGUCUACUUCCUUUGAACGGGUCAACAUCAGUUUUGUCCGGUGGAUAAAGGUAGUAGGAAUGUGACUUCUCCGGAAGUGUUAUAGCCUAUUAUCACAUACACUGGGUGAGACUGAGGACUGCAGCUCGCCUUUAUGGCCGACCUUCGGGUACGUUCGAGCUUAGGAUGUUGACAUAAUGGCUUUAAACGAC
rnacentral:rRNA from 1 species